AAACGGACAAAGGAAGGACAUCGGUUUUCCCAUUAGCAAAAGAGGAAAGAAAAAGGGCUUAUAAGAAGAGGUCCACUCAUUCCUCUAUCACCCAACCAAAGCUGCUAGGGUUUCUCUCUUCUCUCUAUCGCUUCAGGUUCUUCUGGAAAGAUGUCUCGUGUUUAUGUUGGUAACUUGGAUUCAAGAGUGACUGAGAGAGACCUCGAAGACGAAUUCCGCGUUUUCGGAGUUAUUCGGAGUGUUUGGGUUGCACGGAGACCACCUGGUUAUGCUUUCAUUGACUUCGAUGACCGCAGAGAUGCACAGGAUGCUAUUCGAGAGUUAGAUGGGUUUUCCUCAACUACCUAUUUAAGUCUUCUUUUUGGGCAAGCAGAUGCUGCUCUCUAUCUGCAGUAAUGGUUUUUUCGUUAAGUCUUCUUCGUCAAAGUCUGCUGAUUUGUACAGUUUGACUACUACUACUACUACUACUGCAUGUAAAGAGAAUUAAGAGUGUGAACACAGAGGAUUUGCACUGCUUUGGAAUGUUAUCGCGACCUACACUUCUGUUGCAUAUUGGGUUUGUUUUGUGAGAUGUGUGCUACUACGAUUAAACUUUGGGCCAUGUGAGGCUGCCUGUGUGCUGUGUAUGUCCCUGUGAGCAACUUGUAUGCUCCAAUAAGUUGUUAUCGACCAGUGGUCAAAUGAACUUCUGAAAAUAUUAUGGCAAGAAUGGUUGGAGGGUUGAGCUUUCUCACAACUCCAGAGGUGGAGGUGGUGGUCGUGGUCGUUCUGGUGGCUCUGACUUGAAAUGCUAUGAGUGUGGUGAACCUGGUCAUUUUGCUCGUGAAUGUCGCUUGCGUGGUGGUUCAGGAAGACGCCGUAGCCGUAGUCCACCCCGAUUUCGUAGGAGCCCAAGUUAUGGGCGAAGGAGUUACAGUCCGCGCGGCCGGUCCCCAAGGCGUCGCAGUUUGUCACCUCGUGGACGCAGCUACAGCAGGUCACCUCCUUACCGUGGGCGUGAGGAGGUACCAUAUGCUAAUGGAAAUGGCCUUAGGGAACGUCGCCGAAGCAGAAGUUGAUUGUGAGAGUUGGUAACUGUGAUUGUUAAGAGAAUAGUGAGAUUUUGUUAAUCUAGUGGUGCUUGGACUGAAGUAUGAAUCUGUUUUGUUGGGCAAGGCCCUGAGUUUCUACACCUGGAUUAGCUACUUUCUUUAUGUCUUAGCUUGUGUUUCUUUUACUAUGUAGAAUACUUGUAGUUUCAUUGCAGGUAAUAGUCUUUUUAAGGUAGUUGUUACUAGUUUGUUAAAGAGUCUCCAGAUCUUUCUACAAUACAGUAUGUGCUUUUCUUCUUUAUUGAGGUUUCUUCUGUACUGCUUCAUUGGUUUUGUGCUUUUCCUUCACUAGGAUGUAUUUCCUGGCUGCCGUUCUCUGAGAUUUUCAAAAUGGUUGAGAGUUGGAGCUGACUACAUGCUCUUCAAUUUCAAUGACUCACUGCCGGUGACCGUGCAUCUCAAAUUUUAAUGAAUUUUUGUUAUUAACUAUUAAUUGUUGCGGGUCUGCAUCAAAUACUUCUUGCUGGUACUUACAUCAUUCACUAGUUGGGCUUUUCCAAGUCGUGUGAUAUUAAGUCUUGGUCCUAAAGAAUAAGGAAAGGGUUUUCGUAGUAGCUAAGUAAAAGGUUGAUUUGUGACUUUCAUAAUUCGUUUGUUUUCUAAGCGUUGAACAUGAUUGUCGCCCCCUGCCGUCAAUAAUUAUACAUCACGAACUGCAUAACCUUAUCAUGACUGGCCGUCUUUUGUUGGGAUUCAAAUCCUGUCUUCACUUAUUGUCUACCCGGAAUUGAACCCCAGUAGGAAAUAAGUUACAUAUCGUAGUUCAUUAUAUUUGCGGUGUUUUUAAUUGGGGAACAUAGGGGAUCGAGGAUUUGAGUUUUAUGGUGAGGUCUAUUCUAUAUAUAUCUCAAAGGUAGCACAGAAAUUGUAAAAUUUUCAUUUGUAACCUAUUUCCGUGAAAAAUCAUAGUAGCUGUUUAGCAUCUAGAAGAAUAACCGUCACAGAUGUUGAAAAUUUAUUUUAUCAGCGUUUAUUUGGUGUAAAUCUAUAACAUUAGCAUGAAUGUUUACGUAACCUGAUAUUUCCUG